rnacentral:lncRNA from 1 species
UUUUCGUCUGGUUUGAUUAGCUUCUUGAACUUUUGGAUUACUCCAUAAGAUGUUGCGAGCAGUUCGUUUUCGAAGCAGAGGUUGCUGCUCCGGUAACCACAUUUCGACGGUGGUCUUGGCGGUGGUUUUGGUGUUGGUGGUGGUGGUGGUGGUGGUGGUGGUGGUGGUGGUGGUGGUGGUGGUGGAGAUGCUGGAGGUGGACAUUCAGGUUCAGGUGGCGGAGGAGGACAAUCUUCAGGCGACGGAGCAGGAGCUUCACCGCCGCCGCCGCCGAUAAUGAUCUCUAACGUUUCCCUGUUAGUCCCAAUGAACGGAUACAGACCACCAUCAUCAUUGUCACUAACCACCUCGUGAGACCAACAAGAACCAAAAAUGGCGAUCAAAACUAAAAUCGAAAGAGAA